CCUGCAAUCACCCCAUCCUGGGCUCUAUGCAUGCAUGUGAGGGAGGCAUGCACAUGGAAUGCCUCUGGCAAAAAGGAGAGGCCACCCAGAGCAUGGUGUAAGAGCCUGUGCCCUUCACUCCCUCUGGGUUGGUACAGUCCUUUGGAGGGUUCACCAUGCUCUCCAGUAAACUGGUUAUGUCGGACUCAGGAAAUGGUGCCGUGUUCUCUUCAGUGUAUGCCAGUGACACAUGCUAUCUAUACAGCUCUGGAAGACCUUAGCAUCUCUCACAGACCUGGAAGUUGCCAAGUAAGUAGGCUGAUUGGCCAGCGAGUCCCAGAGACCUGCCUGUCUCGGCUUUACCAGUUCUGGGGUUGCAAGUGUGUGCCUCCCAUGCCCACCUUUUGGAAAGUGGGUUCUGGGGUAUGAACUCGGGUCUUUAUGCUUGCAAGGUAAGUGUUUUAGCAACUCGGCUUCCUUAACCUUAGUUCAUAAUCUUAAAAACAGACAAACGAUUAGAUCCUAGCCUCUGUUAAGUACAUUCUGAUGUUUUGGAGAACCACACUGCAGUGGCUUAGAACCCUUGAUUUUAGGAACACGCAACCCAGUUCUACCAAUUUCACAUAUGGAAGGGCAUGCCAUAAGGACUUUGUCAUUAUGGCAUGCCCUUCCAUAUGGAUAAUUUCUGUGGCUUGAAACACUUGUUAGUGGUUUGUUUUUACUCUUUCUUGCUCUGUUUUCAAGGAUAUGUGCGGCCCAGGCUAACCUCCUGCUAUGUGUCUGAGGAUGAGCUUCAACUUUUGAUCUUCCUCCUCUAUUCCCAAGUGCUGUGAGUAUGGGAGCAUACCACCGCACCACACCUGGCUUCAAGUUAUUUUAAAGAUCCAGGCUGACAGAGGAAAGUGUAUUUUGGACUUACACUGACCAGCAUUAGGCAUUAGGCACAUGUGACUCAGUCAGCACUGGAACAUGGUUAAUUUGGGAUGCGCCUGAACUAAUUUUUAAAAGUAGAAGGUUUCAUUAAUUUUUUUUGAGUGGAUAUAGUGAGUUAAAAGGUACGUAAUUAUGCACAAAAUUUCACUUCAACUCAUUCUUUUAACUUUAGUUUUAGACAAACCAGCGGCUCACGUUAUCUUUCUUUUGUGCUGAAUAGCUGCGGAAUUAUCUACGACAAGAAGAUGAUUUUCGAAUAAAGGCAUAGACAACUGCGCUAGAUAGACGUCUCAAGAUCGUUGCAAAUACAUUCAAAGUGCUCAAGACUGAACCCAGAGUCUCAUGAAUACAAGGAAGUUCUACCACGGAGGCCAAGCCCCAGCUCUGCUAGUAACUGGUGGUGUCCCUUAACUUCUCAGUGCAUCUUAGCCCUCGUCUUCACGCGCAGUCCUCCUGGGUAGAUAUCCCCGUCUGUAUGCCCCUCGUUCACAGAGAUUGGAUACCAGUCACCAAGGAUGCUCCAUCCUCUUCACCUAGUCAUGCAAUGGCUGAUCAACUAACAACUAGAACAUAACCCCCAACCCCCUUGAAGAAAUGGCUACGUCUGUUGGCGAUUCUCCGAUUCUUCAUCUGGGAUGGAACCUCGCAUACAGCAGGAGCUUGUAUUUGUUGGAUGACCCUGACAUUUGGAGUCGGAUGGACCACAGUCUGUGACAAGCAGUGAACAUGCAACUGUGUACCUGAGCCAGAUACAAAGACAAGACAAGACGUUUUGAUUUAUAGAAGUCAAGAUGUAAGGAUUGAAGGAGAAAUCCUAACACAUUUUCUCAUGAUAGCUGGUUACGAUCUUAAGUGCUUUACAUACCAGAAAACGAGGACUGCGACCUUAACUCUUUCCUCAAGCUUCCAGACAUAAAAUAUUCUACAUUUCCACACAUGGAUCACACCCUUGUUCUGUUGAACAUUUACAUAAUUACAUAUCAAUCAGCCAAUUUUUUUUGUUCCAAAAUUAUUUUUUAUACAGAAUAAACACAGGCAGAAUAGCUCAGUUCAUCUGAAAGACACUAUAAGCUAGAAGGUAGUCUUCAAUUAAUUCACAAAGACAUGUUAAGAAAAAAAAAGCUGAUGAGGAGAAGGGGAGGAGAGGACAAACAGAUUACCAGAUGAAGAGUUUUAUAUGAUAAUGUGGCAAAUAUAUCAAACUUUAAAAACUAUUAAAGACUGAUAUUCCAAACAAGGACCAUGCAUGGAGAUAACCUAGAACCCCUGCACAGAGGUAGCCCAUGGUAGCUCAGUGUCCAAGAGGGUUCCCCAAUAAUAGGAACAAGGAUCAUCUCUGACAUGAACUCAUGGGCUGGCUCUUUGUCCACCUCCACCUGAGGGAGAAGCAGCCUUAACAGUCCACAGAGGAAGACAAUGAAGCCAGUCCUGAUGAGACCUGAUAGACUAGGGUCAGAUGGAAGGGGAGGAGGUCUUCUAUCAGUGGACUGGGAGAAGGCGUAGAAGAAUGAGGAGGGAGGGUGGUGUUGG